CACGUAGGCACCAAGCGUUGUCCGGAUUUAUUGGGCGUAAAGAGCUCGUAGGCGGUUCAGUAAGUCGGGUGUGAAAACUUUGGGCUUAACCCAAAGCGUGCAUCUGAUACUGCUGUGACUUGAGUUCGGUAGGGGAGUGGGGAAUUCCUAGUGUAGCGGUGAAAUGCGCAAAUAUUAGGAGGAACACCGGUGGCGAAGGCGCCACUCUGGGCCGAAACUGACGCUGAGGAGCGAAAGCAUGGGUAGCAAACAGG
rnacentral:rRNA from 1 species